UGUAAGCGUAUACCAAAGUUGUUGCAGUUAAAACGCUCGUAGUCGGAAUUUGGCAGUUCCGGAUGUGUGCACGUCGUGUGCGCACUUCGCGGGGAUUGCUUUUGUGGUCUUGCGUAGGAUGAGGCACUUUUAUUAGUGAACGUCCUCACGCAACCACUUUUUACUGUGAGAAAAUCAGAGUGCUCAAAGCAGGCAUUUGCCGUGAAUGUAUUAGCAUGGAAUAAUAGAAUAGGACUUGGUUCUAUUUUGUUGGUUUGUUGGGACUGAGUAAUGAUUAAGAGGGACAGUUGGGGGCAUUUGUAUUUUGGUGCUAGAGGUGAAAUUCUUAGAUUACCGAAAGACAAACUGCUGCGAAAGCGUCUGCCAAGGAUGUUUUCAUUGA
rnacentral:rRNA from 1 species